GCCAAAUCAUCCUCGAGCUAGUCU
rnacentral:siRNA from 1 species